ACACGACUACAUUAGACUACCGGGUAGUCCUAGCCGUAAAGAUACUCGCUAGGUGUCGGCCACGGUGCGACCGUUGUCGGUGCCGUAGGGAAGCCGUGAAGCGAGCCACCUGGAAGUACGGCCGCAAGGCUGAAACUUAAAGGAAUUUGGCGGGGGAGCACAACAACGGGUGGAGCUUGCGGUUUAAUUGGAUUCAACGCCGGAAAUCUUACCGGGACCGACAGCAACAUGAAGGCCAAGCUGAAGACUUUGCCGGAUUAGCUG
rnacentral:rRNA from 1 species